rnacentral:rRNA from 1 species
UGCCAGCAGCCGCGGUAAUACAGAGGGUGCAAACGUUGUUCGGAAUCACUGGGCAUAAAGCGCGCGUAGGCGGCCCGUUAAGUGUGGAGUGAAAGCCCACGGCUCACCCGUGGAACUGCUCUGCAUGCUGGCGAGCUAGAGGAUGGUAGGGGAGAGCGGAACUCUUGGUGGAGCGGUGAAAUGCGUAGAUAUCAAGGGGAACACCGAUGGCGAAGGCAGCUCUCUGGUCCAUUUCUGACGCUGAGAUGCGAAAGCUAGGGUAGCGAACGGGAUUAGAUA